AUGAACGCUGGCGGCGUGCCUAAUACAUGCAAGUCGAGCGAACGGACGAGAAGCUUGCUUCUCUGAUGUUAGCGGCGGACGGGUGAGUAACACGUGGAUAACCUACCUAUAAGACUGGGAUAACUUCGGGAAACCGGAGCUAAUACCGGAUAAUAUUUUGAACCGCAUGGUUCAAAAGUGAAAGACGGUCUUGCUGUCACUUAUAGAUGGAUCCGCGCUGCAUUAGCUAGUUGGUAAGGUAACGGCUUACCAAGGCAACGAUGCAUAGCCGACCUGAGAGGGUGAUCGGCCACACUGGAACUGAGACACGGUCCAGACUCCUACGGGAGGCAGCAGUAGGGAAUCUUCCGCAAUGGGCGAAAGCCUGACGGAGCAACGCCGCGUGAGUGAUGAAGGUCUUCGGAUCGUAAAACUCUGUUAUUAGGGAAGAACAUAUGUGUAAGUAACUGUGCACAUCCUGACGGUACCUAAUCAGAAAGCCACGGCUAACUACGUG
rnacentral:rRNA from 1 species